ACGUGAAUGUAGGUUUGGGUUUUUAUUUCCGAGAAAAUACAGGUAUGUCGGAAACAUUCACACCUAGGUGACUAAACCGCUUCACGAAGUUUUUGCAACUACUGGUCUUGUUCAAAGCUUUCAGCUUGUUAGAAAGGAAAAGGUAUAGUCUCUGUAGUCCUUUUUUUUUUUUGGCCAUAGAGGCUAAUAUUAAUGGGAUGCGAUAAUUAUGUUAGUUUUGGGCUGUGAAAAUUUUGAUUGUCUCCUUGUAUACUAGCAAUUAUUGUUCUUGGAAAAUGGAAAACUUGGACGUUAUUUUGAUGUACUUGAUUUGGUCAUUGAAGAUCUGAUUUUUAUACCUUAAAGAAGUGAUUCUUAUAUUUCAAGUGAUCCUAUUCUAUGGUUGAUUAAUUUCUCAUUCCUAUUGGAUUAAAAGAAUGAAGUUGUUAUAGUCUCUUAAUGUUUAAUGGAAUUGUUGCAUUUUGUUCUAUAUAGAUAUAAAGUGUCUUUUUUUUUCUUUUUUUUUUUUUUUAAGUCAUAUGAAAGGUUCAUGUAGGAGAACAAAAUAUGGGCUCGUGGAAGGAUGAAUCAAGCAAGAUUUGCCAUAAUUGGUCAUGUUGUUUAAAUGGUCAAUCGAGACUGAAGUUAUGGCUCGUGAUUAUUAUGCUUUAAAUUGUUUGUACCCUGAUGUACAUGUAUCUCCUGUCAUACCAGCUCUGAGGAACUUCUAUCAUAAUGCACUAAAUUCAACGUGAGUGAACUCAACUUGUAAACCAUCGUAGAUGGUUUGGGUGUUAUUUUAUACCAAUAUUCAUUUAAUGGUGAACAACUUGUUUCCCUCUAUUCAUCAACACCAUCAAUAUUAUUGCCUAUGUUAUGCUGUAUUUUCUUUUAAAAGCUAUAGCAGUCUUAUUCCUUUUAUGAUCCUAUCGUUCAAUGUAAAUCAGCUGCUCUUUUGUUUAGAGCCUGUGUGACAACCAUUAUUGUAGAAAAAAAGGAUUUUUGAAUAGUGAUUUUUAGGAGAAUGUGUGGUCAAAAAGUAGGGAAAAAAUUUUAUUAUACAAGGAGAAUAUUUUAUUGUGUGAAUGUGUGGUUGAAAAUGGUUAUGUAGCAAACCAUAAAAUAAAUUAAUGUGUGUCAAAUGGGCUCUUAAUAUUAUUUAUCUGCUAUCUAUUGAGCAACCUUCUAUAAUAGUAAAAGUUUUCGGGGUAAGGUAUUAUACGCAUUAGAUGAAUUGCGUGCUUAUAAACAUAAAAUGUGCAUCAAAGUUUCAAUGUCAUUUUAACUACGCCUAAUUUUUUUUUGGAAUACUUACUACUUCAAUCCAUAGUGAUGAUCAUUCUCAUUUUUAGCGAGUAAUAUCUAAAUUGUAAUUAUAGAUACUUCAAUAUUUAUAAAUGUUUGUCAUUUUCUCAUAUUAAAAUGUCUUCUAUCUCAAUCUUGUUCAAAAAUGGUUGUAGUCAUUAAUCAGACUCCUAAUAAACUGAGCUAUAUCCUCCCGAGUCAAGUGGAGUAUGAUUGAAGUAGUCAGAUCCUUUUUCUAUUCUUUUCCCUCAUGCAGCUGGACCAUCCUGUAUAUUACAGAGAUCAACAAAGGGAACCAGUUUAAUUAUAUGGAACUUGGAGGAAGGCUUUCCUUGGCACAGGUAGAAGCAAGUUCAUUUUUGUUACUUUUCCAUAUCUCCUGAGUAAUCUCUAUGCUACUGAAU
rnacentral:lncRNA from 1 species